rnacentral:sRNA from 1 species
AUUCUCCCCAUACGGGAAAGGAUGAGAAGCUUCGACUAAGGUUCGACUCGAGCGCCAGCGAGAGAGCGUUGCCGCAGGCAACGACCCGCAGGGCGAAGCGCGC